AUAUAUAUAUAUCGUGCAGUCUGCAGUGCAUGAAUAUCAUUCCUGCAGUGAACUUGCUGGUAAAAAAAAAGGUACCUGUAGGAGAAGCUGCUGUGUCUCCACGUAUUUGUCCCUGAGCUGCUUCCCAAAGGGCUUGAGUUCCUCGGCGACAAGCAGCUCGUCGUACAAGCCGGCAAUGCCAGGGUCUCCCUUGGCGAAAACCAUCUCCAGCAGGUCCAGGGUGACCCUGAAGAAUGGCCACUCGUUGUACAUCUCCUUGAGCUUCUGGAAGUUCUUGAUGUCCUUGUCGAUGGCCCACUUGAAGGCGGCGCCGACUCCCAGCCACACGGGGAGGUGGAACCUCGUCUGUGUCCACGAGAAGAUCCAGGGGAUGGCACGCAGGGUGGUGAUGCCGCCGCCCGGCUUCCUCUUGGCUGGCCUGCUGCCGAUGUUCAUCUUCCCGUACUCAGUCUCAGGGGUAGCCUGACAGAGAAAGACAGACGAAUGAAUUAUAACGACGACAUGGAUGAAUGAAUUCGAUUAUUCGAUCGAUCUUCACCAAACAUCAAACAAAUAUAUGAUGGCAUACCGAUCUGAAGUACUCGACGAAUCGCGGCUCCUUGACGACGACGGAGCGGUACUCCUCCGUGGCGACGACGGCCAUCUCCUCCAUGAGCUUGCGCCACUCGGGCUUGGGAGACACCGGCGGGUGCAUGCCGUGCUCCAGCGUGGCGGCCGUGAACCGCUGCAGAGACUGGAAGCACAGGUUCUCCUCCCCGAACAUGAACUCGAUGACCUCGCCCUGCACCGUCACACGGAUGGACCCGUUGAUGGUGUCCGGCGGCUGGGACAGGAUGGCGAGGUGCGUCGGGCCACCGCCCCUGCCGACGGUGCCACCGCGGCCGUGGAACAAGGUCAGCUUCACGCCGUACUUCUUGGCCACCUUGGCCAUCUCCUCCUGCGCCACGUACAGCUGCCACGCCGCGGACAGGCGGCCGGCGUCCUUGCCGGAGUCGGAGUAGCCGACCAUCACCUGCUGCUUGCCGUUGAUGUGGUUGAUGUACCAGUCAGUGGAGAAGAGCUUCUCCACGGACGCCGGCGCCGCCUGCAGGUCGGCCAGCCUCUCGAACAGCGGCACCACGGGGAGCGUCUGGCGAAUGCCACACUCGCGCUGCAGGAGCUCGACGGCGAGCACGUCCGAGGGCGCCGUGCACAUGGAGAUGAUGUAGGGGCCGAAGCUGUCGAUCGGGAGCUCGGCCAGGACGCGCAUGGCGCCGAUGACGUCGGCGAUCUCCUCGGUCAUGGGAAGGUCCGGGGGCAGCAGUGGGCGCUUGCCUUUCAGCUCCGACACCAGCCACUCCAUCCGCUUGUCCUCGGGCCACGAGCGGUACGACCCGAUGCCGAGGUGCGUGGUGAUGGCGUCGAUCACGUCGGUGUGCCGCUCCGACUCCUGCCGGAUGUCCAGCUUCACCAGGGAGAGACCGAACGCGAACACCUGGCGAAGGAGGUCCAGGAGGCUCCCGUCGGCGAUGGCCUUGUCGCCGCACUCACACAGGGAUUUGUAGCACAGCUCAAGGGGCUCAAGGAACUGCACGCAUGAGAUGCAUUUUUUUUUGUGCGACAGUAAGAAUCAGACCGAAAUGUACUAGUACAUCAUAUUAUUGAUUGAUCGCUUAAAUCACAUUUCAGUUUCACAAAAGGAAUAAAAUUAAGGAACUUGCCGAUUUAUUUACCUCUUCGAUCUUGGUAAAUACCGCGUCCUCAGAAAUUUCAGAAAAUCCAGUUGCCAGCAGAUGGCGUGCACGCUCGCGUGUGUUGUAUAACUUGUCCCUUACAGCACCAAGGAUCACCCGGUAGGGCUCGUUUGGGGGAAUUUGCUUCCAGAAUUCUGCGCCAGCAUCAAAUACUCUUAUUCAGAAAAAUUGGCAAACUGACACACGUACGGCUAAUUAACACGGGGCAACAUUGUUGAAAUCAAAUUUGAAAAGACUAGUGGAGACUUUGCAAAAGCCUGUGCACGCAACCACAAUCUGCAACUUGUCCUAGUGCCGUGGGUUCUCCUAUUUUUAUCAUUCAAUAUUUAGAAAAAAAUUUCUCUACCAAAUGCCUCCCUAAUGAGAAUUCCCAUAAUUAGUGGUAGUAUUUUACUACUACUUAAAACAUUAGGAGAACUCUAUUAUUUUUGCUAGUGGCGGCAGACGAAUCUAUGAGGAGGUACGAACAAGCAAUAGCUAAACAACAAUCUGCAUCUCUAAAAACGCUUAUUAGCUAAUUCAGUCUCUCUUUUUUUUCGUGAAUACCUAAUUCAGUCUCUUUAAAUAAAUAAAUUCUUCUGUUUGUAGUUACCUAUGUAAUACUUGGUAACUUUCUUUGAAGCUGGAGUACUCUGGACUUCUUCGGCUCGAGCACGAAGCUCAUCAUUGCAGCGCCACAUAGAGAGCUAGAGACAUAUAUCAGAUGAGAGUAUUGUUAUGGAUCGGAGGCACCAAAAAAACGGCAAGCCAAAAAAAUGAGCAUUACAAAGCAUUCAAUCAAACACAUUUGUUCAGUACCUCAAACAUCAGGUCUUCGACCUGAUUGAUGUACAAGUUUGCAGCCAUCAUUCUAGACAGCAAGCACACAUCUCUUGUCACCUCCGGAGUAACUCUUGGAUUUCCUACAGUGAUAAAAAUGCAAAGAUAUACAGACUUAACAACAUCAAACAUUAGCAUCAAUACUAUAGAACAUUAAAUUAUUAAUAAAAUAGAAUGACACCGCCAUCUAGUUUAUCUUUUUUUUUAGAAAACAAAAUUGGGCUCGAAUUUUGAUAGGAGAAGUGUUGAAAAGUAAAAAUAUGAAUCUAAAUCAGUCCUUUGCAAAAAAAUAAUUAACAAGUUUGUGAUAAUUGGAUAUAGACUACAUAGUAUCUAUUAUGUCUAUUUUAGAAAAUAAACAAAGAGCAAAACAUAUAAUUCAAUAUAAAUAAUUCUUUACUAGUCAGAUGUAUUAAACAAUAUAUAUUUUAAAAUUCUAGCUCGUGGGAAUGUUUUUCUCUUAGGCCCUGUUUUGCUACCCAAAAUUUUUUCAUCCAUCCCAUCGAAUCUUUGGACACAUGCAUGGAACAUUAAAUGUACAUAAAAAAAUAAACUAAUUACACAGUUUGGUUAAAAAUCGCGAGACGAAUCUUUUAAGCCUAGUUACUCUAUGAUUAGCCUUAAGUGCUACAGUAACUCACAUGUGCUAAUGACAGAUUAAUUAUGCUUAAUAGAUUUGUCUUGCAGUUUCCUGAUGAGCUAUGUAAUUUGUUUUUUAUUAGUUUCUAAAGACCCCUCCCGACAUUCUUCCAACAUAUCCGAUGUGACACCCAAAAAAUUUUCAUCCCCAAUCUAAACAGGGCCUUAAUUGAAAGAUAGAGAGCUCCUGCCACUUUGUUAAAAAAAAAGUAAGUGGAAAUAUACCAUCACGGUCACCACCCAUCCAAGAACAGAACUUAAUGAGAGGAACAUCGUAGGGAAGGCGCUCAUUGAUGCCGAUAUUCUUCAGGGCUGUAUCCACACGGCGCAAAAACUUAGGCACACCGUUCCAUACAGUUUCAUGGAUGUAGCUCAUCCCAUAGCGCAUUUCAUCCUGUGGGGUGGGUUGUGCUCUCCUGAUUUCAUCAGUUCUGAAAGCUGCUUGGAUCUGUGUACAUCCAACAAAACAAAUUAGAACUAAACAACCAAAAUAAAUUGAUAGAUACAGUGAAGGUAACGACAGAAUUCAAUCUAAUCAUAACAAAAAACAUGGUACACAAGAGAGGGAACACUGUAAGUUUUGUUUUUCAUUUUUUUUGAAAUCAGGAAACAUUUAAAGUUUGUAUCACAGACUCUUUACAGAUGGUGCAAAAUGUUAUUGUGUAGGCCUAAUAACAAACUGCAUAUUGAGUUUUCAGUCACCUUUCUAUGUUUCUUAUAUUAAACUAAUGGUACUUGUUUAAUGUAAAUAGUGAAUUUUGUUCUGACAAGAUCACAAUGCGUUCUCAGUUUGACAUGGUCUAGUCUGAAGGUUUUCUUUUGUUGAAAGUUCUGUAUAAUUAUUCAAGAAAAUCAUACAUCCUUGUUUAUGUAGAUGACCUAAAUAAAAAUGUUGGUUCUUGUGGAACAGGUUUACUUCUAAGUAUCUCAUAUUUUUGCAUAUAAUUCGAUCUCUCUCUCGAUAGAGUGUCUAUAUUUUUCCAACGGCGUACCAAACAGAGUGAAAGGACAUGGGGAUUAGCUACCAAUAAAACAUGGACAAUUACUAAAACACCCUUAAUUCCAUAGAGUGGGAAAAAAUAUGACUCUUCAUAAAAUUUUAAUUAUAGUGUAAAGAGAAAAAUCAGGCUCGUUCUGAUUCGUGUAAUGAUUACCUAGGGAAUAGGAUAAUGUGACAUUCUUAAAUGUUAGCAAUGUUUUAAAUGAUUCUUCGUGCUCAUUCAUAUAUAUAGAGUGAAGAAGGCUUGUGCUCUCGUGAAGUGCAGCCAGACACCUCACACAAACAUAUAUAUUGACAUAUCAAUUGAGGAUUAAUUUCUCUGGCCCACUUAGUUACACGUGUGUCGUGCCCAAUGUCUUAAGCUCAUGAGUCCACUUCUAUUCUAUCUCUAUCAAAGAAAAAAUGUAACGACGACGCAAAAAGAGAUAGACACUUUGACAGGACAGUGAUUGAAAAACUUUUACGAGAAUGGCUCAAACGGUUUUCGAAUUUGCAGGAAAAUCGUGUAAAAGUGUGUAUAUCCGAGGCUAGCUCUUGAUAAAUAAAGUUAUUAUAUUCCCAGAUGUGUGAAAUGCAUGUAUGCAUGUACGUACCUCUCUGUGCAGAGCCUCGUCGAGCUCCUUCUUGUCUUCGACCGUGACGUCCUUGGCACUCAGCUGCGUCAGACAAUUCCGGAUCCUGCAACGACGACAAGAGAUCAACAUUUUUGAUCCAGAAAUCCAAGGGAUUUGGACGCGGAUUAAUUGCAGAAUGAGAUCGAGUCGUAGUAUACCUGGCGUUUUUCUGCAGGAGCGACCUCCUGGCGGACUGCGUGGGAUGCGCGGUGAAGACGAGGUCGACGCUCUGGUUCUUGAGCGCCUCGAACACCUCCGCGGGGGUCUUGCCGAGCGACACGAGGCGCUUGAGCGUCUCCUCGAUGUCGGACUCGGUGGUGGCGGAGCCCUCGUCGGAGAAGUCCCCGUGCUUGAGCUUGCUGUUCCGGCGGCGGUGCGCCAGCUCCACUUCCUCCGCCAGGUUGGCGAGGUUGAGCAUGUGCAGGAUGGAGCUCGCCACCAGGAUGGCGUCGGCGGGGGCCAGCCCCGUCAGCUUGGCUCCCAGCUCCCCCAGCUUGGACGUGUCUUUCUUGCCCUCGUAGUCGGCCGACACCUCGUAGCACUCCUGGACCUGCAUGCAUCGCAUUUGGGUAUAUAUAUAUAUAUAGUAAGCACCGGAUUCGAGACGUAUAGACUAUAGAGAGGUGAGCUGAUGAUGCUCUCAGCUCGAUCUGCUACGUACAAAUUCGCGAAGGCUGGGGCCAUGGAGGUCCUGGAGGAUGUCGAGGAAGCGGUCGACGAGCAGGGCGUCAUACUGGAUGAGCUCCUCGGAGACCUUGCCGGGUGCGAGGGCACGGAGCUGCGCGUCGAUGGAGUGGUGCCGCUCGGACGCCAUGGCGGCGGCGGCCGGGGAGUGGGCCGGGAAGCGCGAACGAAGCUGGAGAUGGUUGGAGCGCGGCGCGGCGUGUUGCUCGUGCUGCUCCUCUGCUGCGAGUUGAUUGAUCAAUGCAGGGCGCCGGCCGGUGGCUUCAAAUAGGGAUGGGGAGUUGGCGAGUGUGUGGUCGGCGUGUGCACGCGGGAUUGGAAAGGCAUGCAUGUGAUCGGCGGUAAGGGUAGCCGAGAGCUGCGCGCGGCUGUGGCUACGCUGCUUUUGGCUGGGAUCGCUGCUGUGGACGUACUUUGUCACUGCGCACUUGCCUGCUUGUGUUAUUCCGCUGGCUAAUUGCCUGUUUGCAGGACGUGGAGAGGGGUGUCUGCUAGUGCUAGCUAGUGGUAAGGAUGGGGACGACGCUUCAAAUAACUCCUCGUGGUUCUUCUCUAGUCUAACUAAACGAACUAAAUUAAAAAAAUAAGAAAGAAAUUGUUUAUUUAGUUUAUUAAGUUAGACUAGAGAAAAACCGCGCAAGUAUCCAUUUAGAGUACCAUCUUCAUUCUUAGCUAGUGGUAACCGCAAAGGGGACCGGGAGAGCUGCGGCCGCACCUUGCUCCUGGAUCGUUUUUGGCUUGGCUUUGCUGCUGUUGACGUGCUUUGUCACUGCUCACCUGCCUUCUUGUGUUAUUCGGUUGGCUGAUGGGUUUGCAGGAUGGGGAGAGGGGUGUCUGUUUGCAGUCAAGGCCGGAUUCUGGGGAUCGGUAGAAUUUGGAGGUUUGCUUGCACGCGAUGUGGAGAGAGGUGUCUGUUAGCAACGGAGGAUGCAUGGCGCUGGAGGAAGGCUUUGCAGGGUGUGGAGGAGAGGGUGCCUGUUAUCCAGUAAUGUUAAUGUUAGGAACAUAGAUGUCCUAUAUCCAUGUAAAUUGUGGAAACAGAACUUAAUUUCCUUAGGAGACCGGGAAACAAAAAAUGAACUUGUGGUUAAGGAUAUGGACUAUAAUUUUGUGGUUCAAAGAAAGGUAUUGGUAUACAUGGCUGCCGUAGGGAUAAGGGUCAUACAUGGCUGCCGUAGGGAUAAGGGUGUUGUUACUCUACCAAGGGCACCAUACAGGUGGCUGCACAGCAUUCAGGCGCUGCCAAAUCUAGCGCGCACAUCACUGGGUCAAGCCGACACAGAUUUGGACAAUACGAUGUGUAGCAGCUGGUGGUGGUGAAGAUAUGCGGAUUUAAGAGAGAGGUGGAUUUGGGUUGGGAGGAGCAACUUGCAUCGUCGUGGAUCUCCACACAAAAAAGAAGAAUUGGAAAUGUAUAAUACUAUACAUAUGCUUAAAUGAAAGUAUUUACUGAAUUGUGGAUCGAUGCAUUAAUUGUCAUCACAAGUGAAAAUUAGGUAAUAAUGAGUACUAGUUAAUAGUUGAGCACGGAAAAAGCAUCGAAUUUUGACCUUGCAUUUAGUACCACACCACAUCUCCUAACUCCUUAUUACAUGUCCCGAUCCUCAGCUUGCUGUCAACAUGUAUUAGUCGAGUAGGUCGAGAUCUGGAUCAACCAUGGCAAUAUAGAAUUCCCAAUUUCCCAUAUAUGCAAAAAGUAGCACUGCAAAUGUCCACUUUCAAUAGCAGUAGUUGUCACGUAUGAGUGUAAGUGCAUCAAUGCUAUCAGUGAGUUUUGUUGAAAAGAUGAUGACGCAUAUAAAGAGGUAAUGAUGUUUCAUGAGAUUUUCAGUUAUACAUCGAUGUGAAAAAGUGCAAAAAGAAACAUGGGACCCCUCAAUUCUUACUUUAAAGAAAAAUGCGGCAUUGCGUUUUCAAAGAAACAUGGAAAAAGCAUCGAAUUUUGACCUUGCAUAUACUACCACACCACAUCUCCUAACGCCUUAUAUCUCUACAUCCCUAUCAACACGCAUGUGUGCAUUAGAUCGAGCAGGUGUCGAGAUCUGGAUCAGCCAUGGCAAGACAUAAUUCCCAAAUUAAUUAAUUCCCAUAUGCAAAUAUUAGCACUGCAAAAUGUUCUAUUCUAACAGUAGUUCGUUGUCACGUAUGAGCAAAGCAGCAAACUAAUCUGUCACUCCAUCAAUUAGACAUCUCAAAAACAAAAGGAUGAGAUUAAAGGAAAAGACUAUAUAUAUAUAUAUAUAUAUAUAUAUAUAUAUAUAUAUAUAUAUAUAUAUAUAUAUAUAUAUAUAUAUAUAAUUCCUUAUAUAAUAUUUUUUUAAACUCAUGAGAACAUGCAUGUUUGACUCGAGAACUUAAUUAGUAGUAGUAAUAGCAUGCGGAGCACAUAAUAUGGUCCUACGUUGCGAUCCCUUGAAGCUUGUUUCUUCGCCAACAUAAGCUAAACAAAAAUACCGGCAUGACAUUUGAAAUAAAGUUCACAUUUACUAAAAGAUGAUCUUUUGGAGCACGAAACAGUUGAAUUUUCGUGUGCAGGGGAACUGGAAAUUUAGAGCCACGCAUUUUCGACAUGGAGACAAUUUAUUAGUAGUGAAAAAUUAGAAUCUAUGAUAGUUAUAGUUAUUAUUAGGUGCUACUAUUUUAAUGAGUUCGUGAUGAUUCAAUUGAAUCUAUGGUAACACCUGUGAUGCUUUUCAACGUGGAUUACACGAUUAGUGAUUUGAUCAAUACAAUUUUAUGGUUUAGAAGAUUUUGGCCAUGAAGACUUGUGCAACAUAUAUUACAGAAAAUGAUUGUGGUUGAAACAGAAGAAAAAUUGUUGGCCAAGAAAUUUAUGAUAAUGAAGUAACUGAAUAGGAAGAAUUAUUUUGAUGGAUGAAAUAAAUUUUGGCACCAAGAAAUUGAAAAUAGACGUCAAAAACAACAUCCGUUCUUGGACAAAUGCACAGCUAUGAUUAGGGACAAAUAGAGAUCUCUAUCGGUCGAAGUAUUCGCGCGCUCCCAACUCUUGCGUCCCUUCUACGCAACCUCACGUCUCCUGCACCAUGUAUCAGUGAAAAACACACAACGACCACUUAUCGCUCCCAGCUCUUAUGUCCCUUCUACACAGCCUCACAUCUCAUACACCAUGUAUCAGAGAAAAACACACAAUGACCACUUAUCAGAGAGUAAAAAUAUGAGCGUCUAGAAGCUUCUACACUUGAGAGCUUAGACACGAACAAAACGAAGAAGCCUCUACACUUGUACUACAAGGAGUGCAAAAAUGGCCGACAAUUGUUAUACUGUUGGGCAUUUACUUGCACCGUCGGGAAGUGUAAUGCCCGAGCGUGUACCGUCGGGAACCUCACGUCGAGCAUCCAUGGUCGGGCAUUCCCCCUUUUACGGACGGGUAGUCGGUCAUUGUGUGGCCGACCGUAUGUUUCCGACGGUUAACGCUCAACAAUUAGUUUGUAAACACGCCAAAAAGACUUUGGUCGGACAUGAAUUGCCGAGGGUACCCUAGUCGGGGACUUGUUACUUGACAAUUUUUUAAAAUCCAUUGGCAAAUAUAUACAGUCUGAGUUUUGUUGAACGACGGCUUUUUAAAACCCAUCAGAAAAUAUAUCCGGUCAGGAAUGCAUUGCAUGACGGGUUUUUAAAACCCGUCGGGAAAUAUAUUCGGUCAGAGAUUUGUUGCAUGACAGUUUUUAAAACCCAUCGAAAAAUAUAAUCUGUUGGGGAUUUGUUGUACGACGGUUUUUUAACCCAUCGAGGAACAUAUUAGCAACGGUGUUUAUUAACCAUUAGGAAAUAUAAUCGGUUGGGGAUUUGUUGCAUGACGGUUAUUGAACCCCAUCGAGAAACAUAUUAGCAAUGGUGCUUGGGAUAUUUUAUAGCCAUAAAUAAUUAAUAUUUAACAAUGAAGAUCAAUUCUAGAUGUACAUUCACACUAUAACUCACGACAUUUCAUAACCAGCUCUACAAUAUUGCAUAGUACAAUGAAAGUUUGAAGCCCAAUGACAACUAAACAAAGGUACGAACAAGAGAUUCUUAAAGUUUCUAAGAACAUUCUUCAACAUAACAUAAGUUAAUGUUUAGACUAAAAUACUUGACUAAGAUGCUGCUAUUCACAAGGCAUAACAAAUACUACUUAAAAGUGCCACACACUUCAUAUGUUGUAUAGAAUCUUUUCUCAUCAAUAGGUGCCAUCAUCAUCAUAACCAUGGUUCACAUAAUAUUUGCCAUCAUCUUGGGAACGAUAGACUUCAUCUUCAUAAUCAUAGGUAUCAUCCUCACUGUCAUCACCACUAUAGUUUUCUCCACCAAUGUUAUCCUACAGAAGUUGUAAAAUUAUUUCUAUAAACAUAUGAACUAACUUGAAUACAUAUAAGAUAGAUUUUAUAAUACUUAACUUGAAUACAUAUAAGAUAGAUCUUAUAAUACUUUGGCAUGAAUAUGCAACACAAAUAAUACUUACAUGUUCAGAUGCAUUAGGAACAGUUUUCUUAUGCUCUAUAGAGAAUGCAACCUCGGAUUCAGAAGUAGGUUGCAUGUCAUUGUUGACGGUCCUUAAUGCUCACAUUUAACCGUCAACUAAUCAUGGAAAAGGACCUAUAUGCAACCAACAUCCAAAAUUAGGGUUUCAUCUGACAGAAUUUCACGAGUUUUGGUGUUUGUCUAUUUCUGCAGGGGGUUAUGAGGAAAUAUGGAGGAAAGGUCCACACAUCGGGUUUACAUAGAGAUAUUAACGUGCACCGUAAUUAUCCAACAUCUAGAAGAGUCGAGAAGCCACGGGAACGAGCGGAUGGCCGAGCGGGCCCGGGGGCUGGGCGCCCGACCUCCCUCAUAGGGCGCCGCCCUGCUACAGGAGCCAAUCAGGCUCCGCCUCGCGGAUUAUGCUCCACCGACCGAACGAAUUAAGGAAAACCGUGCGAUUAAGGUCGGUUUGAUCCGACGGGCCAUGUUCAUUUGGAAGGGCUAUAUAAGCAGGCCCCCUGGCCCCUGGAGAGGAUAUUUCUUCUACACAAUCAAAGCUAGGGUUUCAAUUAUUCAUCCAAGUAGAGAGGAUCCCUCUAGUUCAUCUAGUUCUAGUUCUAGUUCAUCUAGUUCUAGUUCUAGUUAGUUCUAGUUGUAAUCUAGAAAAUAGGGAGAGAGAAGAGGAGAGCGGAGGAGGAGCCGGAUCUGUCGGAUCUUCCUCAACAUUAUACUUUUGCAGCAAUUGGUUUGUUCUUCAUCGUUGUCCAAGUUCUUCAAUUCAUAAUUCCUGAGUUCUUUAAUUACUUUUAUUUACAUUCAAGUUAUUUAUUGGAUUUCUGCUAACAUCAAGUGCUCUAGUCUUUGCAAUGCUAGAGUAGUAAUUAAUAGAUUAGACGUGGUGUUUAGUCUUGCAAUUACCUAGAAUUACACCCAAUCCUGUGGAUUAUUGUGGUAGCUCUAGGGUAGUGACAGACCUAACGGUCGACGUAUUCCACCUCGUUCGGAUCGGUGUUUGUAGGACCAUAGUCAGAGCUUCCUAGCCCCCUUCUCAUCUCUUUCUGUGGUUAGUGUUCUGAUGUCCCGAAAUAAAUAAUCUUUGAAGUAAUUCUUUAUUCUUAGAUCAACUAGAGAACUCUCAGGAAACUUCCUCUCUUCCCACCAAAAAUAAUUAUAUAGUUAUCCUUGGGCGAUCUUGAAUCUUAAUUAGUACACUCAUGUUCCCUGUAGAAAAUCGAUACUCUAGAAUACUCCUGGAUGAAAGCUACAUCGGUAUCCGUGCGCUUGCGGAUUUUUUCUGUUUGCGUUUAAAAUACCCAACAAGCUUUCUGGCGCCAUUGCCGGGGAACGGUAGUUGUGCUAGUUUCGAACCAAGUCGUACGUGUAUCCUUUUUCUUUUCCUUUUUUUUACCACACUCACCUUACCAUUUUCACCAUACCACAUGGAUUUCACUCCUAUCUAUAAAUUAUUUGCUCCAAAGGGCGAGUUAUUAGAGCCACCACCAUCAUCACAUCCAAUUCUUACAGAUGGCUACGACCUCGGCCCUGAUCUAAUAGCCAUGAUUCAGGAGCAACCCUUCUCUGGGCAAGUAGAUGAAGAUCCAUACACCCACCUUAGAGAAUUCGAGCAGUUGUGCUCUUGCCGAUCUAUUUCCGGCAUGACACAAGAAACCCUUAAAUGGAAAUUAUUUCCAUUCUCCCUUUUGGGAAGAGCAAAAAAGUGGUAUGCUCAUUCUGUAGGAGGCGUUAAUGGAAAUUGGGAUGAACUUCAGGACAACUGUUGUCUCGCUUUCUUCCCACUUUUUCGAAUCGCUGACCUUAGAAUCAAAAUUCUUACAUUCAAACAAAGAGAGAAGGAAACUUUAGGAGCAGCUUGAGCUAGGUUCACAAGCCUUACCAAUUUCAGUCCAAACCUUUUCAUGCCUGACCAUGUACUAUACUACCACUUUUAUCGUGGUCUAAACAAGGAAGCUGCUCUUCACCUCGACAUUGCUUCAUGAGGCUCAUUCGCACACAAACUCAUAGAUGAGGGGAGAGCUAUCCUAGAGAGAAUCCUUGAAAAUAUCCCUUACACAGCCAUUUAUGAUGAGUUUCCUAAAGAAGAAAAAGAAGUCGAGCCUGAUCCUAAACCAAAAGAUGAGGAACUUGCAACCGAGUUAGAAAUUCCACCUGACCCAUCUAUUAAUUUGGUUGUAGAGAAACCUCCUGAUAAGGGAAUGCAAAACCAACUAAGGGAUAAUGAACCACCACCUUUAGAGCAUUCCUUUGAAUUCGAGGAAGAUCUUUUUGAAGAUUAUGGAAACGCCUCGAAUUUUCUUAUCCAAACACGACCUCUAGCAGGGACCACUCAAUCCGUUCUAAGAGUAGAAUCUGUUGACAUAGAACACAUCAAAUGCCUUUCGGCUAUUCUGAGUUAUGAAUGGCUAACAGAAGCAGAGCUGUCUCCUGAGGUAGCUCAGAUCAUCACUCCUUCAACCAUUCUUCUGUGCAAAAUUAGAGGGUCCGCUAGGAAGGUCCACUACAAUCCACAUGUUGGGAUAAAUGUUAUUUCCAAGGAGUUAGCUCACACUCUUUAUCCCAAUGAGUCCAUAACCCCAUCUCAAAAACUUUUACAAAGUCCAUCUGGAUUAAUUCUAGAAAGCCAUGGGGGUAUUAAGGGCAGUUCCUGUUAGAAUCAAGGACUCUGGAAUAUGUCUAGAUUUUCACAUUUUUGACAUACCGGAGAUUCCUCUCUUGAUUGGCAGACCAAUCAUGAAACUUCUACAAGAACAACCACAACGAGGUCAUUUAGACUUCAAUGUUGGGAAUUCCACUAUUGUUGUUCCUCUUGCUAGAUCAAUUAACACGAUAGUGGAACCCAAACUUAAACUAGAUCCUAUUGAGGAGAUCUUAAUGCUGACUCAAGAGGAGAUGGCC
rnacentral:lncRNA from 1 species